UUCUGAACCUUCCUCUUGAAGCAUUUCGUGGGCAGCUUGCCCCUUCUCUAUAUUUUCCUGACAACAUUUUUGAUCCUCAACACAACUAUGGACUAAGCGCCACACUGGAUGGACCUCAGGUCUUAGAGACACCUGUUCCCAUGCAAAAUCAAGGUCUUUCCCUAAUUUUUCCCAACUUGCCACAGUAAGAUUAGCAGAGACUGGGAACCAGGGGGCAAUGACAUCGCAUUCACACAAAAAUCUCUCUAUGGUGCUCCUUUUUAUUUUUAGUUUCUUAUGUUCAAACAGCUCUUGAAGAGCCAGAAAAAUUGGAUGAGACUGUGAGGUCCCCAUGACCAAAAUGUUCUAGGCUGCUGUGGCUAAAUUCACCAAGCGUCUUCAUAAUUUCAGUUUGUUUCUAUGGAGAACUUUCUUGUUAAAUACCCUGAGAAUUUAUAACGACUUAUUUCCUGCGGCCCUUAUGGUCCCACCUUACCUUGGGAACUUUCCAGUGAUACCCAGACUGCAAGAAGUUCUGAUAUCAGGAGGUCCCUGUACGGGCCACCACUUGCUUCGUCCAACCUCAACCAGCAAGGAAGACACAAAUAGUGAAGAUCUUCUUCGAGCAGUUUUAUUCAGGAACUUUGGUACAAUCUUCUGACCCCAGGGAACCCCCGCACCACACUUAAAUAGCUAGCGCUGGCCAAUCCUAGCAAGCAAGUGGGUCAUACAGAUAGGCUGUCAAAAUGCAGAAUCUAGCAGGCCACCCAGGCAUAGACAAAUAAGGAAUAGUUUUCUAAAAAGAGAGCUCACCACUGGGAGGGUGGAAGGCAGAAAUCAGCACCAACUUUGUGGCCUGGCAUGUUGCAGCUGCCUUCAGUUGCUUUUCAAGGAAUUUACAAUAAGAAAUGGAAAUACAAUAUUCAUUCAAUUAAAGGUCUGUAGGGAAAAUACUAGACUUUGGGAAACAGAGAAAACCUAGAAAAUUGAAUUGUAUGUCAGAGGGAAAAACGUGUCACAUACAGAAUAAUAAUAUUCUCUAGAAGAAUCUCCUACACUCCAUGUUCCUACAUCUUUACUACCCAUGCCAAUCCCCUGAACAGCUUUCUCCAUUCAGAGCAUGAAACCACUAGUGAAGCAGAGAGAAGUCUAUAGAUUUAGAGAGGUGGAGUACAUAAAGGUUUCCACUGUGUCACAGGAGACAUACCUGGAAAGUGUUUACUAUUUGGCAUCUAAUUCAGAGAAAUUGGGGAGCGAUAAUAAAGAGGAUGAAGAGAUUCGAAAUGGGUAGAAGGAUCCUGGGCCUCUAUCUUGGUAUAAAAAACAAGGAAGAAAUAUGUGGUCCUUUGGAAAGCUCAGAGAACCCUUGGUAGGGGUUGAGUGGGAUCGCUGAAGAGAAAUCCUUGAUCUGAGCCUUCUAUAAGGGAAUAAGGAACUGUGAGGCUCUUAGAAGCAUCUGGACUUCCCUGUUCUUAUGGUUCCUGGAAGUAAAAGGGUUUAUAUCAUUUAUUUCUUUAUUCCAAAAGCCAAGUGUUGUGAAGGGCACAGUUGUUUUCCUGAGAACUCAUGACCUUUUCUCUUUUUCUCAAGAAGAAAAGGUCCUAACGAAGAAGGGAAAAACAAGUAUUGUGUCACUAACUAAGGUAAACACGUACAUGCUUGGACACCUAUAAUGCACUUUGUGUCUGACACUGAUAUUUGGGAGAUAAAAGUGCUUCUAUUUGGGACUUCAAUAACUCAGUCGUUCCACUAGUAUUACUCUACAACUUCUGAUUUCUAAUUCAAUAUUUGUGAUGACUUUGCUGCUUUCUUUUCUUUAUAUCAUUCAUUUUUUUAUAUUUAAACAAAAUUUAUUGCUUUUCAAAUAGAUGUUUCUAUAUAUACAUUUAAAAUAUUAUUUCCUUUCCCAGUUUCCUGCACAUAAGAUCCCUGCCUGUUCCAUUUCCUUCUUCUCUAACCAAACUUUCUGCCGCAUGACAUUGCCUUGAACUGGGAGACAAACUAGGGAGGACAAGAGCUUCUCUUUCCAAUGUUGCCCAAAAAGGCCAUUUUCUGCAACAUAUGCAUUUGCAGCCAUAGGCCAGUCAAUAUACUUUCUCUGUAUAUUGGUCUAGUUAUAAAAAGCUCUGGUUCAUUGGUAUCGUUGUUCUUAUGGGGUUUAAAGAACCUUCAGCUCUUCUAAUCCUUUUUCAAAAUUUAACCAUAUGUCUGUUUUCAGUAUACUGGUUUGCUACUAGCAUUGACACACUGUAUCUAUGUCUCUCAGUAAAUAACUAUAUCAAGUUUCUUGCAGAAUGCACUUCUUACCUUCAUCAAUCUUAUCUAGUUUUUUUUUUUGUCUGAUGUAUACAUAUAUAAUUUAUUGGCUCUUACACCUAUGAAGUUAAUUGGAAAGUUAACAUGGAUUUUGACCAACUACGCCAAGAAUAUAGAAUUCAAUAAUGACAAUUUCACAGACUCCCCCUGUUUUUAUGAACCUAUUGAAGUAGACUUUAUUUUUUCUCUUUUAUUCAGAGCGGCGGACCGAACCCAGGGCCUUGUGCUUGCUAGGCAAGCUCUCUCCAUUGAGGUAAAUCCCCAAACCCGAAGUAGACGUUUAACUGGUCCUCAGGUCAUUCUUUUCGCUGCACAUCAUCCAGUAUCUUACGUUUGGCCUGAAGAAAGUAUCAUGGUAAAUCAUACUAAACCCUCAAUUCUGGCCAUGGGAACACUGGAAGCUAGAGAGUAUAGUACUGAUAUCAAAUGGGACAAGAAACAGAAUUCAAAAGUCCAUGUUGUCCUUUGCUGUCCUGAUGUCUGGUAAUUUUUUGAUAAAUAAGAAUUUGGGAGAUUACCAUUUGAAGUAGGUACACAGAAUUUACACUAUUAUACUUACUGUAUAUCUGGGCCCCAUUUGUGACAAUAUCAUUGCAGAAAAUGGUAUUUGAAAAUAGAAUUUUUGACUACAUUGAGAAAUAUUUACCAAGUUUCCUAACAAGGAAUUUACAAUAAGAAAUUGAAAUACAAUAUCCAUUCAAUUAUAUGUGUAUAGGAAAAAUACUGGUUAUUGGGAAACAGAGAAAACCUAGAAAAUUGAACUGUGUGUCAUAGGAAUGAACCUGGGAAUAAAAAUAUAACCUAGGAGAAUCUCCUACUCUCCAUGUUGCUAAAUCGUUUUCACCCAUGCCAAGCCCCACAGCAUGUAACCACUAGUGAAGCACAGAGAAGUCUCUAGCUUUAGAGAGGAGUAUAUAAAGGUUUCCACUGUGUCACAGGAGACAUAGCUUUAAAGUGCAAACUUGAAUCUGGUCAAUGUAAGGAAAGGUAUUCAUCAGGUAGGAGAUGACAGUUUUCAGUGACAUCAUUAUUAGGCAUUCCCUGAAAACUCUCUUGUAACAUGCAGAGCACUAGAUUCUUCUGUGAUGUCACAAGUGUUGUUGUGACUGCAACUACCUCUGAGAUAUUCUUUCAGUACCUCUAGGGUUUACAAAUAGGCCUCUACUUCAAAGAAAAUUUGGGAGUGAUAACAAAGAGGCUGAAGAGAACAGAAAUAGGGAGAAUUAAGCUGAUCUUCAUUCUUGGUAUAAAAAACAAAGAAGAAAUAUGUGGUCCUUUGGAAAGCUCAGUGAGUCCUUUGUAGGGGUUGAGUGGUAUCACUGAAGGGAUAGCAUUGAUCUGAGUCUUCCACAUAAGGGAAUCAGGAACUGGGAGACCCUCAGAAGCAUCUGCACGUCUCUUUUCUUAUCUGGACUUCUCUGUUCUGAUGGUUCCUUGAAAUAAGAGAGUUUAUAUCAUUAAUUUCUUUAUACCAUAAGCCAAGCGUUGUGAAGGGCACAGUUGUUUUCCUGAGAACUCAUGACGUUUAGUCUUUUUGUCAAGAAGAAAAGGUCCUAAGGAAGAAGGGAAAAACAAGUAUUGUAUCCCUAGCUCUGAGUAAACUCCUCCAUGCUUUGGAUACCUAUAGUGCAGUUUGUGUCUGACACUGAUAUCUGGGAUAGAGAAGUACUUGUUGUUGAGACUUCAUCAUCUCAGUCUUUCCACUAGUAUUACUCUGAACAACACUUCAGAUUUCUGCAUCAAUAUGUCUUUUUACUUGGCAGCUUUCUUUCUUUCAUAUCAUUCUUUUUUCAUUUUUUACCAAAAUUUAUUGAUUUUAUAAAUGGAUGUUUCUAUAUUUACUUUUAAAAUAUUAUUUCCUUUCCCAGUUUCCUGCCAAUAAGGUUCCUACCCGUUCCAUUUCCUUCUUUUCAAACCAGCCUUUCUGCCGCAAUGCAUUCCCUUGAACUGGGAGACAAAGUAAGGAAUACAAGGGCUUCCCUUUCCAAUGUUGUCCAAAAAGGCCAUUUUCUGCCACAUAUGCAUUUGGAGCCAUAGGUUAGUCGAUGUAUUUUCUUUGUAAAUCUAUUAUGAGAGAGCGCUGGUCACUGGCAUUGUUGUUCUUCUUGGGUUGAAAGCACCUUCAGCUCUUCGAAUCCUUUUUCAAAAUUUACCAACAAGAGGUCCGUUUUCAGUUCACUGGUUUGGUCCCAGCAUUCACUUCUGUAUUUGACAUGCUGUAUCUGUGUCUCUCAGUAAAUAUUUAUAUCUGUUUCCGGGCAGAAUGCACUUCUUACCUUCAUCUAUCUUAUUUAGUUUGGUUGGCUGAUGAGUACAAAUAUACUUUUGGUGGCUCUUAAACAUAUUUCGUCAAGUGGAAUGUUUACAUGGAUUUUACCCAACUAAAAGAAUGUAUAAUUAAGAAAUGACAAUGCAAAUAGACUCCGUCCUGUUUUUAUGAACCUAUUGAAGUAGACGUAUAACUGGUCCUCAAGCCAUUCUUCUUAAUGCCCAUUAUCUGGUAUCUUACUUUUGGUUUUAAGAAAGAAUCAUGGUAAAACAUCCUAAACCCUCAGGUCUGGCCAUGGGAACACUGGAAGCUAGAUAGUGUAGUACUGAUAUCAAAUGGGACUAGAUAACCGAAUUCAAUAGUCCAUGUUGUCCUUUGCUUUCCUGAUAUCUGGUAAUGUUUUGUUAAAAUAAGGAUUUGUGAGUGUAUCAUUUGAAGUAGGUAUACAGUAUUUACGCUGUUAUACUCACUCUAUUGCUGGGCCCCCUUUGUGAACAAAAUCAUUGCAGAAAAUGGAAUUGGAAACAGAAUUAUUGAGUACACAUUGAGGAUUAUUUACAAAAUCCCCUAUCAAGAAAUUAACCAUAAGGAAUUGAAAUACAAUAUUCAUUCAAUUAAAGGUCUGUAGGGAAAAUACUGGCCUUUGUCAAACAGAGAAAACACAGAAAAUUGAACUGUAUAUGAAUGGAAUGAAACUGGGAAUAAAAAUAUUAUCUAGAAUUAUCUCCUACAUUCCAUGUUCCUAAAUCUUUUCUACCCAUGCCAAGUCCCUGUCUAAUUUUCCCCAUUCAGAGCAUGUAACCACUAGUGAAGCAGAGAGAAGUCUCUAGCUUUAGAGAGAUGGGUUAUGUAUAGUUUUCUACUGUGUAACAGGAGACAUACCUGGAAAGUCCAAAUUCGAAUCUGGUCAAUGUAAGGAAAGGUGUUCAGCAGGUAGUCCACAGGAGUUCUCAGUGCCAUCAUCAUUAGGCCCUCCCUGAAAACUCUCUUGUAACUUGGAGAGUUCUAGCUUCUUCUGUGAUGUCAUAACUAUUGUCAUGACUGCAACUGCCUCUCAGAUAUUCCUUCAGUACCAAUAGGUUUUACUAAGAUCCUCUAAUUCAGAGCAAAUUGGGGUGUGAUAACAAAGAGGAUGAAGAGAUUGGAAAUGGAAAGAAGGAAUCUGGCCUUCUGUCUUGGUAUAAAAAAUAAGGAAGAGAUAUGUGGUCCUUUGGAAAGUUCAAUGAGUCCUUUGUAGGGCUUGAGUGAUAUCGCUGAAGAGAUAGCCUUAAUCUGAGCCUUAUACAUAAGGGAAUCAUAAGCUUGGAGACUCUCAGAAGCAAAAGGACUUCCCUGUUCUUAUGGUUCCUGAGGGAUUAUAUCGUUCAUUUCUUUAUUACAAAAACCAAGUGUUGUGAAAGGCAGAGUUGUUUCCUGAGAGCUCAUGACUUUUACUCUUUUUGUCAAGAAGAAAAGAUCCUAAGGAAGAAGGGAAAAGCAAGUAUUCUGUCCCUAACUCAAGCCUUUCUGCCUCAUGACAUUACCGUGAACUGGAAGACAAACUAGGGAGGACAAGUGCCUCUCUUUCCAAUGUUGCCCAAGAAGGCCAUCCUCAGCCACUUAUGCAUUUGGACCCAUAGGUCAGUCCAUGUAUUUUCUUUUUAUAUUGGUCUAGUACAAAAAAGCUCUGGUUCAAUGGCAUAGUUGUUCUUAUGGUGUUGAAAGCAACCUCAGCUCUUCUAAUUCUUUUUCAAAAUUUACCAACAAGAGGUCCGUUUUCAGUGAACUGGUUUGCUACCAGCAUUCACUUCUGUAUUUGACAUGCUGUCUCUCUCAGUAAAUAUCUAUAUCUCGUACCUGGCAGAAAGCACUUCUUACCAUCAUCAAUCUUAUCUAGUUUUGUUGGUUGAUGUAUACAUAUAUAAUUUUGGUGGCUCCUACACCUAAGUGUUUAAGUGGAAAGUUAUCACGGAUUCUGGCCAAAUAUGUCAAUAGUGUAGAAUUCACCAAUGACAAUUUCAAAUAGACUCUCUCCUGUUUUUAUGAACCUAUUGAAGUAGAUGUAUAAAUGGUCCUCAAGACAUUUUUCUCCCUGCCCAUCAUUGGGUAUUUUAUGUUUGGCCUUAAGAAGAAUCAAGGUAAAUCAUCCUAUGCUAAAGUCUGGGCAUGCAAACACUGGAAGGUGCUCAGAGUGUAUUGAUAUCAAAAGAGACUAGAGAACCAAAUUCCAUAGUUCAUGUUUUCCUUUGCUUUCCUGAUGUCUGGUAAUUUUUUGUUAAAAUAAGGAUUUGGGAGUUUAUCAUUUGAAGUAGGUAUACAGUAUUUACAGUGUUAUACUCACUCUAUAUCUGGGCCUCCUUUGUGACCAAAAUCAUGGCAGAAAAUGGAAUUGGAAAACAGAAUUAUUGAAUACACAUUGAGCAAUAUUUACACACCCCUUAACAAGGAAUUUACAAUAAGAAAUUGAAAUACAAUAUUCAUUCAGUUAUAGGUCUGUUGGGAAAAUACUCAUUUUUGGGAAACAUAGAAAACAAAUAAAAUUGAACUGUAUGUCACAGGAAUGACCUGUCAAUAAAAAUAUUAUCUAGAAGUAUCCACUACACUCCAUGCUCAUAAAUAUUUUCCACCCAUGCCAAUACCCUGACUAACUUUCUCCAUUCAGAGCAUGUAACCAAUAGUCAAGCUGAGAGAAGUCUCGAGCUUCAGGGAGAUGGAGUACCUAAAGGUUCCCACUGUGUUACAGGAGAUGGACCUGGAAAGGGCACCCUCGAAUCUGGUCAGUGUAAGGAAAAUUGUUUAGCAGGUAGGCCAUGGCAUUUCUCACUAACAUCACCAUUAGGCCUUCCCUGAAAACUCUCUUGUAACCUGGAGAGCCAUAACUUCUUCUGUGAUGUCACAACUGUUGUCCUGACUGCAACUGCCUCUCAGAAAUACUUCAGUAUUUCUAGUGUUUACUAAUUGGCCUCUAAUUUAGAGCAAAUAGGGGAGUGAAAACAAAGAGGAUGAAGAGAUUGGAAAUGGAGAGAAGGAAGCUGGUCUUCUGUCUUGGUAUAAAAAACAAGGAAGAAAUAUGUGGUUUUUAGGAAAGCUCAGUGAGUCUUUGGUAGGUGUUGAGUGAUAUCACUGAAGAGAUAGCCUUAUCUGAGCCUUUCAGAUAUGGGAAUCAGAAGCUGGGAGCCUGUCAGAUACAUCUGUGCUUCCCUGUUCUUAUGGUUUCUGGAAAUCAGUAGGAUUAUAUCAUUCAUUUCUCUAUUCCAAAAGGCAAGUGUUGUGAAGGGCAUAUUUGUUUUCCUGAGAGGUUAUGACCUUUACUCUUUUUGUCAGAAGAAAAGGUCCUAAGGAAGUAGUGAAAAACAAGUAUUGAGUACUGAGCUCCGAGUAAACUCCUCCAUGUUUUGCAUAUCUAUACUGCAGUUUGUGUCUGACACUGAUAUCUCGGAGAGAGAAGUACUUGUAGUUGAGACUUCAUCAUCUCAGUCUCUCCAAUAAUAUUACUCUGAAUACCACUUCAGAUUUCUGAGUCAAUAUGUGCGAUUACUUGGCAACUUUCUUCUCUUUUAUAUGUUUCUCAUUUUAGCAAAUUUUAUUCCUUUUAAUAACUGGAUGUUUCUAUAUUUACAUUUAAAAUAUAAUUUUCUUUCCAAGUUUCUUGCCCUUCAGAUCCCACUUGUUCUCUUUUCCUACUUCUCUAACCAGUCUUUCUGUUUGUUGACAUUCCUUUGAACUGGGAGACAAACUAGGGAGGACCAAGGGCUUCAUGUCCAUUGUUGCCCAAAAAGGCCGUCCUCAGCAACGUAUGCAUUUGGAACCAUAGGUCAGUCCAUGUACUUUCUUUGUAUAUUGGUCUUGUAAGCAAAAGCUCUGGUUCACUGGCUUAGUUGUUCUUAUGGGGUUGAAAGCACCCUCAGAUCUUCUAAUCCUUUUUCUAAAUUUACCAAAAAGAGGUACGUUUUCAGUUCAAUGGUUUGCUACCAGCAUUCACUUCUGUAUUCGACAUGCUGUAUCUGUGUCUCUCACUAAAUAUCUAUAUCCAAUUACUGGCAGGAUGUAUUUCUUACCUUCAUCAAUUUUAUCGAGUUUUGUUGGCUGAUGUAUACAUAUAUACAUUUGGUGGCUCCUACACCUAAAUGGUUCAAUGGAAAGUUAACAUGGAUUCUGCCCAACUGUGUCAAGAAUGUAGGAUUCACAAAUGACAAUGCAAAUAGACUCCUUCCUGUUUUUAUGAACCUAUUGAAGAAGAUGUUUCAUUGGUCCUCAAGACAUUCUUCUCCCCGCCCAUCAUCUGGUAGAUUACAUUUGUCCUUAAGAAAGAAUUAUGGUAAAAAGUCCUGAACAAUCAAGUCUGGCCAUGGGAACACUGGAAGGUACAAAGGGUUGUACUGAUAUCAAAUGGGACUAGAGGACUGAAUUCAAACUCCAUAUUGUCCUUUGCUUUCCUGAUGACUGGUAAUUUUUCGAUAAAAUAAGGAUUUGGGAAUUCAUCAUUUGAGGUAGGUACAUAGUAUUCACAUUCUUAUACUCACUCUAUAGCUGGGCCCCCUCUCUGACCAAAAUCAUUUCAGAAAAUGUAAUUGGCAAAUGGAAUUUUUGAUUCCACAUUGAGGAACAUUUACAAAAUCCCCUAUCAAGGAAUUACAGUAAGAAAUUGAAAUACAAUAUUCAUUCAAUUAAAGGUUUUAGAGAAAGUAUGGACUUUGGGAAAGAGAAAUAACCCAGAAAAUUGAACUGUAUGUCACAGGAAUUACCUGUCAAUAAAACUAUUAUCUGCAAGAAUCUCCUACACUCCAUGUUCCUAAACCGUUUUUACCCAUGCUAUGCCCCUUAAUAACUUUCUGCAUUAUGAGCAUGUAACCACUGGUGAAGCAUAGAGAAGUCUCUAUUUUAGAGUGAUGUAGUACAUACAGGUGUCCUGUGCCACAUGAGACAUACCUGGUAAGGGCACUCUCGAAUCUGGUCAAUGUAAGGAAAAGUGUUCAGCAAGUAGACCAAGGUAGUUCUCAGUGACAGCAUCAUUAGGACCUCCAUGAAAACUCUCUUAUAACCUGGUGAGCCCUACCUCCUUCUGUUGUCAUGACUGCAACUGCCUCUCAGAUUUUCCUUCAAUAACUCUAGGGUUUACUAAUUGGCCUCUAAUUCAGAGACAAUUUGGGAGUUAGAACAAAGAGGAUGAAGAGAUAUGAUAUGGGGAGAAGGAAGCUGGACUUAUGUCUUGGUAUAAAAAACAAGGAAGAAAUAUGAGGUGCUUGGGAAAGCUUAGUGUGUCCUUGUUAGGGGUUGAGUGGGAUCACUGAAGAGAUAGCAUUUUUCUGUGCCUUCCACAUAAGGGAAACAGGAACUGGGAGACUCUCAGAUGCAUCUGCACUUCCCUGAUCUUUUGCUUCCUGGUAGUCAGAGACUUUAUAUCAUUCAUUUCUAUAUUCCAAAAGUAAUGUGUUGUAAAGGACACAGUUGUAUUCCUGACAGAUCAUGGACUUUAUACAUUUUGUCAAAAAGAGAAAGUUACUAAGGAAGAUGGGAUGGACAAGUAUUGUGUCCUCAGCUCAGAGUAAACUCUACAGUGUUUUGGAUACCUAUUGUCCAGUUUCUCUCUGUCUGAGACUUCUAUCUUGGAGAGAGAAGUGCUCUAUUUCAGACUUCAUCAUCUUAGUCUUUCCACUAGUAUUACUCUCUCUAUCAUUUUAGAUUUCCAAGUCAAUAGUUAUGAUUAGUUGGCAGGUUUUUUUUUCUUUUAUAUCUCUCAUUUUUUAGCAAAUUUUAUUGUUUUUUUUAACUGGAUGUUCCUUUAUUUACAUUUAAAUUGUUAUGUCCUUUCCCAUUUUCUGGCCCAUAACAUCCCUAUCUGGUCCCCCUGCCCGUAUUCUAUAAACCUUCUUACUACCCCUUAACAUUCCCUGGAACUUGGAGUUAAACCUAGGGAGGACCAAGGACUUCUCCUUCCAUUAGUACUCACCAAGUCCAUCCUCUUCCACAUAUUCAGUUGGAGCCAUAACUCUGUCCAUGUACAUUCUUGAACAUAGGUCUAGUAUCAGAAAGCUCUGGUUCAUUAGCAUUGUCGUUCUUAUGGUGUUAAAGCCCCUUCAGCUCUUGUAAUCUUUCCUGAAAAUCUACAAACAAGAAGUCCAUUUUCAGUUCACUGGUUUGCCACUAGCAUUCACUUCUGUAUUUGGCAUAAUCUUGUUGUGUCUCUCAGGAAAUAUCUAUAUCUGAUUCCUGGAAGAAUGCACUUACCUUCAUCAAUCUUGUCUAGUUUUGGUGGCUGAUGUAUAUGUAUGUACUUUUGGUGGCUCCUACAGCUCUGAGUUUAGCUGGAAUUUUGACAUGGGUUCUGCAUAUCUAGGUCAAGACUGUAGAAUCCACAAAUGGCAACACCAAAUAGACUCCAUCCUGUUUUUUGAAACUUCUGAAAUUGAGGCGUCACUGGUCCUCAAGUCAUUCCUCUAGAUGCCCAGCCUCCUAUAUCUUAUGUUUGGCCUUAAUAACUAAUCAUGGUAAAAUACUCAAAAGCCUCAAGUAUGGGAAUGAAACUCAGGAAGGUAGAUAUUGCAGAACUGAUAUCAAAUGUGACUAGAGAACCAAAUUCAAUAGUCCAUGUUGUGCUUUGCUUUUCUGAUAUCUGGUAAUUUUUUGUUAAAAUAAGGAUUUGGGAAUUUAUAAUUUGAAUUAGGUAUACAGUAUUUACAGUGUUAUGCUUACUCUAUAGUUGGGCCUCCUUUGUUGCCAAAACCUUUGCAGAAAAUGGAAUUGGAAAACAGAAUUUUUGAAUACACAUUGACAAAUAUUUUCAAAGUCCCCUAUCAACGAAUUUUCAAUAAGAAAUUGAAAUACAAUAUUAAUUCAAUUAAACGUCUGUAGGGAAAAUACUGGCCUUUGGGAAACAGAAUACUUAGAAUGUUGAACUGAGUCACAGGUAUGAACCUGGGGAUAUAAGUAUUAUCUAGAAGAUCUCCUAUAUUCCAUGUUCCUAAAUGUUUUCUACCCAUGCCAAGACCCUGACUAACUUUCUCCAUUCAGAGCUUUUAACUACUAGUGAAGCAGAGAGAAGUCUCUAGGUUUAGAGAGAUGGAGUAUGUAAAGGUUUCAACUGUGCAAUAGGAGACUCUCCUGGAAAGGACACCCUCGAAUCUGGUCAAUGAAAGGAACGCUGCUCAGCAGCUAAGGACAUGGCAGUUCUCAGUGACAUCAUCAUUAGGCCUCCCUGAAAAAUCUUUUGUAUCCUGGAGAUCCCUAGCUUCUUCUGUGAUGUAACAAGUAUUGUCCUGACAGGAACUGCCUCUCCGAUAUUUCUUCAGUACCUCUCUGGUUUACUAAUUGGCCACUAAUUCAGAGUAAACAGCCAUGUGGGAGUGAGAACAAACAGGAUGAAGAGAUCAGAAAUGGGCAGAAGUAAGCUGGCCUUCUGUCUUAGUAUUAAAAAAAAGAAAAAAAUAAGUGGUAUUUGGAAAAGCUCAGAGAGCCCUUGGUAGGGGUUGAGUGGUAUUGAUGAAGAAAUAGACUUGAUCUGAGCCUUCCACAUAUGGGAAUCAAGAGCUGGAGCAUCUGGACUUCCCUGUUCUUCUGGUUCCUGGAUGUCAGAGGGUUUAUAUCAUUUAUUUCUUUAUUCCAAUACCAAGUGUUAUGAACGGCACAGUUGAUUUCCUGAGAGCUCAUGACCUUUACUCUUUUUGUCAAGAAGAAAAGGUCCUAAGGAAGAAGGGAAAAACAAGUAUUGUGUCCCUAACUCAUGUUAAACUCCUCAAGGCUUUGAAUCCCUAUAGUGCAGUUUGUGUCUGACACUGAUAUCUAGGAGAGAGAAGUGCUUCUAGUUGAGACUUCAUCAUCUCAGUCUUUAUACUAAUAUUAACCUGACUACCACUUCAGAUUUCUGAGUCAAUAUGUUAGAUUACUUGGCAGCUUUCUUCUCUUUUAUAUCAUAUUUUUUUUUUAUUUUUUAGCAAUUUGUUUUCUUUUCAAACUACAUGUUUCUAUAUAUACAUUGAAAAUAUGAUUUCCUUUCCCAGUUUCCUGCCCAUAAGAUCCCUACCAGUUUCAUUUCCUUCUUCUCUAACCAGCCUUUCUGCUGCAUGACAUUCCCUUGAACUGAGAGACAAACUGUGGAGGACAAGGCCUCUCUUUCCAAUGUUGCCUAAAAAAGGCCAUCCUCUGCCACAUAUGCAUUUGGAGCCAUAGGUCUGUCCAUGUACUAUUUUGUAUGUUGGUAUAGUAUGAGAAAGUUCUGGUUCAUUGGCAUUGUUGUUUGUAUGGGUUUGAAAACACCCUCAGCUCCUCUAUCCUUUUUCAAAAUUUACGAACAAUAGGUCCGUUUUCAGUUCAAUGGUUUACUACUAGCAUUCACUUCUGUAUUUGACAUGCUGUAUCUGAGUAUCUCAGGUAAUAUUGAUAUCCGGUUCCUGGCAAAAUGCAUUUCUUACCUUCAUCAAUCUUAUAUAGUUUUGUUGGCUGAUGUAUACAUAUAUACUUUUGGUGGCUCCUACACUUAUGUGGUGAAGUGGAAUGAUAACAUGGAUUUUACCCAACUAUGUCAAGAAUGUAGAACUCACAAAUGACCAUUUCAAAAAUACUCCUUCCUAUUUUUAUAAACCUAAUGAAGUAGAUGUUUAACUGGUCCUCAAGCCAUUCUUCUCCUUUCCCAUCAUCCAGUAUCUUAUGUUUGGCCUUAAGAUAGAAUCACGUUAAAACAUCCUAAAACCUCAAGUCUGGCCAUUGGAAUACUGGAAGCUCAAUAGUGUAGUUCUGAUAUCAAAUUGUACAAGAAACCGAAAUCAAUAGUCCAUGUUGUCCUUUGCUUUCCUGAUGUCUGGUAAUUUUUCAAUAAAAUAAGAAUUUGGGAAUUUAUCACUUGAAGUAGGUACACAGUUUUAAACUUUUUAUACUCACUCUAUACCUGGGCCCACUUUGUGACCAAAAUCAUUGCAGAGAAUGGAAUUGGAAAAAAAAAUUUUUGAGUACACAUUGAGGAAUAUUUACCAAGUCCCUUGUCAUGCCCAACCUCGACCAGCAAAAAAGAUAUGACCAAUGAAGAUCUUCUUCAAGCAGUUUUACUCAGGAACCUUGAAACAAUCUUCUGACCCCGGGGAACCCCCGGAGAACACUUAAAUAGCUAGUGCUGGCUAAUCCCAGCAAGCUAUCUGGGUCAUGCAGACAGGCUAUCACUAUGCGGAAGCUAGCAAGCCAGGCAGGUAUAGCCAAAUAAGGAGUCCUUACUACAAGGAGCGCACACUGUUCGGAGGGUGGAAAGUGGAACCAGCUCGAUCUUUGACGCGCGUCACGUCACAGCCGCGUAUAGUUCCACCUUUUUGUUUAAUUAACCAAGCAGGCAAAGGCACCACUGAGUGUGGUGACCCCCACUGUCUUAGGAUCAUCCCUUCAUUAAACCAGUCUUAUGACACCUCUUUGCCCACCAAGUUCCUUAGCUAGAAGAGAGGUUGCCCAUAACUGGGGAGGGUCACUCACACAUACUCAUGCCUGAGGUACAACAAGGUCUUCUGAAUAACCUUAAGCCAGGCUUGAGGGGACUGUCCUGCUUCAAUUGCUGCAAAUACCUGUACCACCAUAACAGCGUUCCGCCUCUGAACAAACCUCAUUCUACAGAGACAACACAGACACACUAGGCAGACCAGCAGCAAGAAUCCAACUAGGGUUCCCAUACCCUCCCACUCCCUCAGAUGAUUCAUAGCAGCCUCAAUCCAAAAUGACAAUCCCGUAGCCAGUCUAGCAUAUGCACGUGUGGAGUUCACCGUCACGAUGGCUGCACAUAGCUGAACCAUUAAGAAAUCGAAUUCUCCUGUCCAAUUUCCUAGAAGAUAACUUGACAACUUUUUAGAAAAAUUAGAUGAGUGGAUUUAAAAGUCAUGACGUAUCGGCAUGAGUCUCCGGAACACCAAUAGUAUCCCCCACAGGGGUUCCAUUUGGACCACCAUUUGGGUCACACCAAGAAGUGUCAGCAGCAGCAGGAUCUUCAUUCUUGUUGUACCUCCUGGUCAAUCUUUCAGCGACCCACAACGGAUCUUGCCGGUCCUGAGGAAACACACAAAGAGACCCUCUUGCCAAGACAACACGGGAUCUGGCCAAUGUCAUAAGCCAGUGAUCACGUCUUUCCAUUUCACGUAACCUUUCAACAUGCCCACCCGACACUGAUGUCUGUCAGUGGCAGAUAGGCCAUCAUAAUCCAAUAUUAAAAAAUUAAGAGUAAAAGGGGCUAAGGAUAUCUGUUCCCUGGUGGUUCUACCAUGGCCUAUUCCCCCUAUUUGUUUAAUCACGCAUUCCUUCAAGGUACGAUAUGCUUGCUCAACAAUACCUUGACAUUGGAGAUUAUAAGGCAGGCCAUGGGUCAACUGCAUAUCCAUAUGUUUACAAAAGGAUUUGAAAGAUAUAGCAGUUUAAGCUGGGUCAUUAUCAGUUUUUAAGUGUUAAGGCUUUUUCCAAACAGCCCAGGCUUAUAGGAAGUGUCCAAUAACAUUGCGUGGCUUUUCUCUACUCAUAGGGGUAGCAUGAAUGACACCUGAACAAGUAUCCACAGAAACAUGAAUGCAUUUUAGAGUCCCAAAUCCAGAUAUGUGAGUUACAUCCAUUUGCCAAAUCUUUAGGGGCAAAAGGCCUCUAGGAUUAACCCCUACACCUGGGGAAUCGUGAAAAGUGAUACACUGUUGACAUCCUAAAACUAUCUGUCGAGCAUCUGCUCAAGACAGAUGAAACUUCUGUUCUAAGGUCUUAGUAGGCACAUGAAAUUGUUGAUGAAACUGUCCAGCUUGAUCCAAUGAUGAGCUUAAGAUGAACUCCAUUUGGGUCCAUCUAUCCACAAGAUCAUUUCAUUGUUAGACAAAAAUCUUGACCUCUUUUCAGAUCAAUUCCUGAAGUUCCCUCAGCAGCUGGCAUACCGUGCUGCUAAUUUUAAUAGGGCUAACCACUUCUAAAAUCUUAACUGCAUUAACAAAUAUGAUGAAUCAGAGAGCAAAUUAAAGGCAAAGGGACAAUUUUUAUACACUUCCUGCACAAUCUUGAGUUCAAUUAUUUGUGGAGAGCUGGGAUGAUAUUGACACAAAAUUGGCUCUUGAUGGUUAAUCACAUAAGCUCCACAGCCAUUUUUGGAUCCAUCUGUAAAAAUGUUUGGCGCCCCCUGUAUAGAAGUACUGGAAGUAACCUUAGAAAGAAUAUGGGAUGUUCUUUAAAGAAGGAUAGCAAAGAAUGUUUUGGAUAAUGAUUAUCUAUCUCUCCAUGGAAUCCACAGCAUAAUAUAGCCCAAUCACCCACAGUGCCACACAAGAUCUUCAUCUGCUGACCUGUAUAGGGCACUAUGAUCAAGAUUGGGGAAACACCAAAAAAUUGUAUGCACAUUUGGAUCCCAUACAGGCCUAAUUCUGUAACUGCUGUAGGAUAAUAAUCUACUGAUCUAGCUGGAGAAGCCUUGGGAUAAAAACAAAGCAGAGGGCCAUCUUCGCACAACAAUUCUGUGGGCUGCAUGUAGGUGGCUAGAAUUCAUAGCACAAUGUCUGCACCCUCCUUCCAUCGAUGUAAAAUUGCGCCUUGUAAUCCUUUUUCAACCUUCUUUAAAGCUCUCCUUGCUUCAUUUGUCAAUUGUCUAUGAGAAUCCAAGGCCGAAUCCCAAACUAAAGUAUUAUAAAAUGGUUUUAAUUCAUAAUUUGGUAAAUUUAAAUAACAUCUGACCCAAUUAAUAUCUCCUAAUAAUUUUUUAAAAUCAUUAAGUCUUAAGAUUAUCUUUCCUCCAUUCAUCCUCCUGGGGAAUAAUGAUAAAUGACUUAAUUUUGCUCUUAAAUAAUUUACAAGAUUGCCCUUUUGUACCUUUUCUGGGGCAAUAAUCCCCUACCUUCUAGCAAUUUAACUAAAUUUCCACAUGAUAAAUCUAAAAUCUCUUCAUUCUUUGCAGUUAAAAGGAUAUCAUCCAUAAUAUGAGGUGCAUGAAACUUUUGUCUUAUUGGGGUGAUGGUGUUGCCAACAAAAAGUUGACAUAUAGAAGGGCUAUUUGGCAUACCCUGUAGAAUAACUACCCACUCAUAUUUUUGAUCAGGUACUUCAUGUUUGCAUGAUGGAACAGUAAAAGCAAAUCUUUCACUAUCCCUUGGACAAAGAGGUAUGAAGAAAAAGCAAUCUUUUAUAUCAAUCAGUACAGCAGGUCAACAGGCUGGCAGAGAGGAUAAAAGAGGAAGCCCACGUUGCACUGGGCUCAUGAUUUGCAACUGUUGAUUAUUAAAUUGUAAAUUAUGCAUCAUCAUUCCCUGACUUCUUAUAUCACAUAUAUUGGGGUAUUCCAAUAUGAUACUGAUGGUUUUAUAUGCUUCAUAGUCAGCUUUAGCUGUGGCAAGCUUCUCAGAAGAAAGCAGUCACUGAAGAACCCUCAAUGGCUCCUCUGUUUUCCAGGUUCACCGAGCUCUUGGAGAAGUAGCUGAACAUCCUAAAGACUUUGGGCAAACGAAGAAUAUGGCACAAGAUCCCUUUGGGCAGAAGGUGGAAGGUUGAAACUGUCCUCCUUAGAGGAGAAACUUCUCAAGACACCAUCAGAAGGAUCAAAUCUUAACCCUGUGUUUCUAGAAACUGGAUGCCUGUGGUCCACUUUGGUAGAGAGAGAAUGUCGACUAUUUCUCCCCAGAGUGGACAUGUGAAAUAAAUCUACUUGGGUAGAUGGGGAUAGUUGUAAAGCAUGCUGUUCAGAUGUAGUAGAUCCUAAGACAUCCUUCUCAGAUGAGGAAGGUCUUAAUGUACCGUGUAUAUGUGUAGAAAUCCUGACUG